rnacentral:lncRNA from 1 species
UUGACACUUGUUAUUUUAACAGGGAAGCUUGCCAAUAUUUUCUUCAUAUUCAGUGUUGUUGGCUACUUUUUUUUCCAGGUUUAUCUGUGAGUGUAAGUCUAUGAUUCUCCGAAGCAAAGGUGCCAGUGAAGUUGCCUCAUAAACAAGCAGACCUUCCAGAAUCUUCCAUCGGAGAAUUAUCACCUGCAAAGACCUCUGAGAGUUCAAAAAUCCUUGUCAUCCCUGGGCUGAAGUCUGUACAUGACAGGAAUUCACAAUUAGAUUAGAAGUGGCCUGCUACCACUUACUGAUGACCUCAACCUGCAGCACACAGAAGCCACCAGCAACACACAGAAACGAGAGGAACCCCGGAAGAUGUUUGGAGAGGCCCACAAUGUGGGUGCAAAUUUCUUGGGGGACAGGGGACCGCUUCUGCUUUUGCUGCAAAGGACAGAAGGAUGCUUUCCAGGAAGAUUCCUGUGAACCUGACUCAGAAGAACAACAGUCUGUGCAUGAACCUGUUGUCCUCGAGAAUUUGAUCUUCUUUUUGUAGUAUCUUGUGAUGGUCAUGUCUUCCCCUUCUCUAUCAGCUUUUCAAAUGGUUGAUUUAGAAACUAAAUCAGUUUUCUAGUUAUUCGAGCAUUGAUUGUGUGGUCUCAAGUUCUCAUAACUAGUUUUCCUCAAGAUGAAUAUUGGGAAAAGUUUGGUAGCAAGCUUCAUCGUGAGGGAGGAGCCCUGAAAUAGGAGUCCAGAGCUGUUGUAAACUGGGGCAGGUUACUUCACCUCACUGAAACUUGGUUUCAUCAACUCUAGAUUAGAGGGUGGAUUAAAAUGCUUCUAAUUACUAAAGCCUAUAAGACCUAAAAAAUGUGCUCCAGAGGAGAAAACACCACCAAAUAAAUACACCAACAAACGUGUAUUUAUUCA